rnacentral:tRNA from 1 species
UUAAAAUAAAGCGAUAUAAAAUUGCAUUCAGUUUCGACCUGAGCCUAGAAAAUUUUCUAUUUUUUA